rnacentral:rRNA from 1 species
UGGGGAAUAUUGCACAAUGGGCGCAAGCCUGAUGCAGCCAUGCCGCGUGUGUGAAGAAGGCCUUCGGGUUGUAAAGCACUUUCAGCGGGGAGGAAGGCGUUAAGGUUAAUAACCUUGGCGAUUGACGUUACCCGCAGAAGAAGCACCGGCUAACUCCGUGCCAGCAGCCGCGGUAAUACGGAGGGUGCAAGCGUUAAUCGGAAUUACUGGGCGUAAAGCGCACGCAGGCGGUCUGUCAAGUCGGAUGUGAAAUCCCCGGGCUCAACCUGGGAACUGCAUUCGAAACUGGCAGGCUAGAGUCUUGUAGAGGGGGGUAGAAUUCCAGGUGUAGCGGUGAAAUGCGUAGAGAUCUGGAGGAAUACCGGUGGCGAAGGCGGCCCCCUGGAAGAAGACUGACGCUCAGGUGCGAAAGCGUGGGGAGCAAACAGG